ACUCCUACGGGAGGCAGCAGUGGGGAAUAUUGGACAAUGGGCGCAAGCCUGAUCCAGCCGUGCCGCGUGAGUGAUGAAGGCCUUAGGGCUGUAAAGCUCUUUUACCCGGGAAGAUAAUGACUGUACCGGGAGAAUAAGCCCCGGCUAACUUCGUGCCAGCAGCCGCGGUAAU
rnacentral:rRNA from 1 species